rnacentral:sRNA from 1 species
ACGUACCAUAUUAUUUAUAAGAUUGUUUUGAGAUAUAGUUUACUUAAGAGCUCAUAAUAAGUUACAGCACUAAUUUAGUUCUGAAAUAUUGAUGGUACGCAAAAAACCAAAGUACAAAUACCAACUACUUAUAUAACAAACCUGAUAUGUUUUAAGCCAGAGAUUCCAGCUUUAUGAAAUUUGAAGACUUAGAUUUUAUACAUAUUAUGUGUUUAUAUAUAGGUUUUGUCCCCGUUUAGUAAUUGGCUAACUGCAUUGAUAAGAUAUCCUCCAUGCUCCAGUAGUUGUUGUUGUCGUUUGUACAACAACUGGAUUGAUCAGGAUUUGUGUGGAACUGAGUUGAGAAUGGUUCUAGCAUUCCUUGAUAACAGGAUGGAGAAUAGGUCUCCAUGGGCUCAGCAAUGGUGGACACUUGGCUAGUGAAAGCUUGGUGAUCAUUUGUCUCAGAAUUACUCUGCUGCUGAAAGCUCUCACUUUGCUUCAUGUGCUUCUGAAUCCUUGUCCUCCAGAAGUUCUUGAUCUCAUUAUCAGUCCUUCCGGGUAGCUGCUUGGCAAUUUUGGACCACCUGCGUUGGAAAAUGAGUGAUUUGUGAAAGACAGUAAAAUAUCUGACUAUUAAUGUACUGGUUUUGUCAUAAUGUAAAAGAAUUUAAAGUCAAAAUUCUGAAAUGAGUAAAUCUCAGAUACCUACCUAACAAAUAUUAAUAAAGAAAUAUUUGCCACAUUUUAUAUAUUCAGCUCUUUUUGUAUGAAAGCUAAUUGACUAGGAGAAUAUUAAGUAGAAUAGUUUGUAAUAACUCUCAAAGUUGUUUUUUAUCUAAUUUUUAUUUUUAAAUAACUAUAAAGGAAAAGUAAAAUGCUAUGAUUUUAAUAGGAGUGCAUAGUCCUUUAAUCUCAAAAACCCGCUUGUUGCAACCUUUUCCCCGUAAAAGUAUUAUCUUUUAAAAACAAUUGGGCAUAUGUUUCAGCUUUUAAAAAUAAUUAAAAGUUUAGAAAUAUUAUUAAAACUAAAAACUAUUUUGAAUAGCUUAUGAGUGUACUUUUUAAACUAGUUUUUAAUUGUAAACAAACAAAAGCAAUUUAUACUUAUGCUAAAAUCCAUUAUAUAAGCUUCAUUAAGAUACAGAUAAAAUUUACAGACUUUGUUCGAUAUUUUUAAUUUAUAAAAGUCGGAAAUGAAUGAAUGAAUAGUUCGAAGCUAAAUUGCAAGCUACAAAAAUACUGUUGUAGAAUUUAUAAGCAGACAACUAUUUAAUGUGCAGACACCAACUUUGUGUGAUUGUGCUGACAUAAGAAGGUAUUAAUUAGUUGAAAUAAAAUUAAAAGCUACCUGAGGUUGUUGAAGCAUUUCAUUUUGAUUAGUAAAAAAGUGGCAGCUCCUAUAAUAAAUAGGAUCAGUCUGAAAGGAGGCCAUGUUCAAUGGCUGAGAAUCAAUGUGACCAAUAUAAAACGAUCAUUAUCGAGGUACACAAAGAUGCUGAAUUUCUGAGUUUCCUUUGAUGUAUAGCAGGGCUACAAGAUAAGAAAAUCAGAUUUCUCAAUGCAUGCCUCGGGUUUGACUAUGUUGAAAAGGACCGUGUGUAUGAUUCCUGAGAGUAAUGUUUUGUUUAAGGAUGUAAUAUGAAUGUGAGAUGUUAGAGGUUUUGGUUUGUCUGUAGACUGAGAGAAAAAAUGGAUAGUGAGAACGGUACGACGAUGGAGCUAAAGUUAGGUUAAGGAUGCACCAUCUGAGCUUAACCUCAAGGGGAGAAUGUUAAUUUACAAGGACAUCUGCCCUAGUCAAGAAAAGCCAACACGGCAUGGUUUGGGUCCGUUUUCACUACCUAAACUCUAACAAAAGUUUCCUUUCAUUGGAACACGAAAGAUGUAAAAGUGUGCCCACUUCCAUUAAUGGAAGGUCCCCUCCUCUAGUUCACUUCCUUCUCCUUCACUAGGUUGCUUAUAAUAGCCAUUUUGUAAAAUUAAAUUCCUUUAGUAGAUAAACUUUUAUUCUUAUAUUUAUAUAGAUAUUACUAAAUGUUGAUAAAUAACUUCAUAAUUGGUCUUUUUUCUUUACCUUCUCCACAUAUUACUCAUGAUUUUCCCCCACUAAAAGCUUCACAACUACCUAUACCUCUUUAUUUUCUCAUUCAAUUUAUAUUCAAGUUUGCCUUCUCGUAUAUUAUCCUUUGUCUCUUUGAUUAGAAAUGUUUAUAUAACUUUUCUUUUCAUUUCAGUGCUAUUUCUAUCUCACUUCAAUUUUAAUAAUAACCCUACACCUCUUUCUCUGGGUUUUUCAUUAUACAUAUUCCUUAUUGUUUACUAAACUUACUUUAAAUAAUAAUAUCUUAAAUAAAUAAUUUUAAAUAUAUAUAUAUAUAUAUA